rnacentral:rRNA from 1 species
UACGGAGGAUGCAAGCGUUAUCCGGAAUGAUUGGGCGUAAAGCGUCCGCAGGUGGCUGUGUAAGUCUGCUGUUAAAGAGUCUAGCUCAACUAGAUACAAGCAGUGGAAACUACACGGCUAGAUUACGUUCGGGGCAGAGGGAAUUCCUGGUGUAGCGGUGAAAUGCGUAGAGAUCAGGAAGAACACCGGUGGCGAAGGCGCUCUGCUAGGCCGUAACUGACACUGAGGGACGAAAGCUAGGGGAGCGAAUGGG